rnacentral:rRNA from 1 species
GCAAGUCGAGCGGUAACAUUUCUAGCUUGCUUGGAGAUGAGGAGCGGCGGACGGGUGAGCAACGCGUAGGAAUCUACCCAGUAGUGGGGGAUAAGCCAGAGAAAUUUGGUCUAAUACCGCAUACGCCCUAUGGGAGAAAGCAGGGGAUCUUCGGACCUUGCACUAUUGGAUGAGCCUGCGUGAGAUUAGCUAGUUGGUGAGGUAAGAGCUCACCAAGGCGACGAUCUCUAGCUGGUCUGAGAGGAUGAUC